rnacentral:rRNA from 1 species
GAUGAACGCUGGCGGCGUGCCUAAUACAUGCCAGUCGAGCGAACAGACGAGGAGCUUGCUCCUCUGACGUUAGCGGCGGGCGGGUGAGUAACACGUGGAUAACCUACCUAUAAGACUGGGAUAACUUCGGGAAACCGGAGCUAAUACCGGAUAAUAUAUUGAACCGCAUGGUUCAAUAGUGAAAGACGGUUUUGCUGUCACUUAUAGAUGGAUCCGCGCCGCAUUAGCUAGUUGGUAAGGUAACGGCUUACCAAGGCAACGAUGCGUAGCCGACCUGAGAGGGUGAUCGGCCACACUGGAACUGAGACACGGUCCAGACUCCUACGGGAGGCAGCAGUAGGGAAUCUUCCGCAAUGGGCGAAAGCUUGACGGAGCAACGCCGCGUGAGUGAUGAAGGUCUUCGGAUCGUAAAACUCUGUUAUUAGGGAAGAACAAAUGUGUAAGUAACUAUGCACGUCUUGACGGUACCUAAUCAGAAAGCCACGGCUAACUACGUG